GAUGAAGAACGCAGCGAAAUGCGAUAAGUAAUGUGAAUUGCAGAAUUCAGUGAAUCAUCGAAUCUUUGAACGCACCUUGCGCCCUUUGGCCAUUCCGAAGGGCAUGCCUGUUUGAGUAUCAUGAACACCUCAACUCUUUAUGGUUUUCCAUGAUGAGCUUGGACUUUGGGGGUUUUGCUGGCCUAUGGUCGGCUCCUCUAAAAUAAAUCAGCUUACCAGUGUUUGGUGGGUAUCAUGGGUGUGAUAACUAUCUACGCUUGUGGUUUUCCCACCAGGUAACCUUCGACAGCGGAGGUUCACUGGAGCUCAUAGAUGUCUCUCCUCAGCGAGGACAGCCCUUUGAAUGUUUGAUCUCAAAUCAGGUAGGACUACCCGCUGAACUUAAGCAUAUCAAUAAGCGGAGGA
rnacentral:misc_RNA from 1 species